rnacentral:rRNA from 1 species
UACGUAGGGUGCGAGCGUUAAUCGGAAUUACUGGGCGUAAAGCGUGCGCAGGCGGUUUUGUAAGCCAGAUGUGAAAUCCCCCGGGCUCAACCUGGGAAUGGCAUUUGGGACUGCAAGGCUGGAGUGCGGCAGAGGAGACUGGAAUUCCUGGUGUAGCAGUGAAAUGCGUAGAUAUCAGGAGGAAUACCGAUGGCGAAGGCAGGUCUCUGGGCUGACACUGACGCUCAUGCACGAAAGCGUGGG